UACGUAGGCAGCGAGCGUUGUUCGGAGUUACUGGGCGUAAAGGGUGUGUAGGCGGUUGUUUAAGUUUGGUGUGAAAUCUCCCGGCUCAACUGGGAGGGUGCGCCGAAUACUGAAUGACUUGGAGUGCGGGAGAGGAGAGUGGAAUUCCUGGUGUAGCGGUGAAAUGCGUAGAUAUCAGGAGGAACAUCGGUGGUGUAGACGGCUCUCUGGACCGUAACUGACGCUGAGACACGAAAGCGUGGGUAGCAAACAGG
rnacentral:rRNA from 1 species